UGACCUCACCGGAGUUCAGAGCACUGCCUCCCCCCUGCUGCGCGGACACCUCUAAGGGGGGGACGGACCUGGGACAAAUGACCCCACCUAAGGCAGGGUCCUUACAGCUCCACAAACUUUCACUCUGCCCCCCUGGGGAGGGGAGAGGGUGAGGAGGGGAGGCAGGAGGGUACACGGGGUCAGCCCCUCUCCCCCCCAGGCUGAAGUUAACAGGUACCUGGGCUCCCAUUUGGGGCUCCUGGAGGCGCUGUCCCCGCCGAUGUGCCCCGGCUCCCGGGCUCCACCUGCCUCGGGUGGGCCAGGUCCCGGCCGGGCUCGGCGCCGACUUGGCCGGAGCGCCCUGGACGCAGGCCUCAGCCCCUGACAGCUGGUCCUGGGGGGCACGGCUCAGCAGAUCGGGGCGGGAGAUGGUGAAGAAGGUGACACGUGGGGGUCCAUCUGUCCAGCCAUCCCUCAUCCGUCCGUGCGUUCAUUCAAGAAACGUCUCCCCAACACCCAGGCUAAACAUACUUCAUGAACAGUGGGACCUCCCAAGCUAUAAGUUGCCAAACCACCCUGCUGUCCUGGUGGUAGAAGUUGCUUCAACAGAGAAGAAAGAAGAUAUGAGGAUGCAAGGACAAUGCCAUCCAUAAGCCAAGGAAUGCCAGAGGUCUCCAGAAGCCAGAAGGCAUGGAACAGAUUCUUCCUCACAGCUCUCAGGAAAACCAACCCUGCCGACACCUCGGUCUUGGACUUUCAGCCUCUAGAACUAAGAGACAAUAAGUAUUUGUUGUCUAAGCCCCACCAUUCUGCGGUACUUUGUAUGGCAGACCUAAGAAAUGAAUACAGAUAGUGAUUCUGUGUUUAGCUUUUGAGAAGCUUACCAAGCUCUUUUUCUUCAGAGCCUGUACUAUCUUACCUUCUUACCCACAACGUGUGUGGGGUUCCAAUUUCUCCAUGUCUUUACCAACACUUGUUUCCCUUUUUAAACAUAUUUUAGCCAUCCUACUAGGUGUGGGGUGUUAUCUCACUGUGAUCUUGAUUUGCAUUUCCCAAUGAUUAAUGGUGCUGAGCAUCUUUUCAUGCGCUUAUGGGCCAUCUGUAUACCUUGCAUUUUUAAAUCCUCUGACUGGCUCUCUGAAGCUACAGCCUGAAGGCAGCAGUCUUUCCUCCUCAGGUGGUCUCCACCAACCUCAGACUGUAAGCAUUUCCCUUUUAUUUGGAGGAAGAAGAAAAAAAGGACCAACAUGUUGCACGAUGCCUGGCAAAAGCUAGAUACCAAGCAUGCAACUGUUGAAUGAGUGAAUUAUCCAUUAAGCCCCCCUGGCCCCCACCCCUUGCACCGGGAUGGAAGGUUGAGACCCGGCUGGGACUUCAGAGCUGCUGUCGUCGGACUCUCAUUAUGGAGGAGGAAACUGAAGCCCUAGCAUCUUAAUGUUCAUCUGAUCCAGGGGCUACUGUUCCCAGAGUCCAGCCUGAGACUCGGAACCCUGCCAGGCAGACAGGACAUGACUCUGCUGCCUGUGGGCUUUCCGCUUCCCUUCUACCACACUCAAACUAGAGAGAGUACCAUGCAUCCAUGUCCUGCAGUUGGGAGCAAACAGGGCUAUUGUCUUUGUGUCUUAAACAAGGACAGAGACAUCUGUUGAACAAAUCACACCAAUGUCAUCUACGGUUUUAACUUGAGCUGGCUUAUGCUAUCCAUGGGUAGCCCCUUUUGGAAGUGUCCACAUCAAGUGGAAACCAAAGCUCUGGUUCAGGGGAGAGAGAUUUCUAAGAAUUAGCCAGGUGGUUUAAGGGCCUGACAAGUCCCAGUAAGAGAGAGUGAAAUAUAACCGUGGGCUCUCCCCGCCUGCAGCUCUCAGCGUAUCACUAACACCUUCUAGGCUGUCCUGCUGAGACUGUGUCUGCAUCAAAGCAUCCUGCACAAUGUUAUUCCUCUUGCCAGACAAACUUGAGCUGUUUUCCAAACUCAAAAUCACACCUCAGAAGAGAUUGCUUUAUCAAUUCCCUGGCAAGUACAUUUCCCGCUCUGCCGCCAACAUGUCCCCUAUAUCCUGCUAUGGAUUUAGCCCUUUGCAGACUUUUUUAGUCUAUUUAGAAAAAAAAAUGUACCUUGGAGAUAAAAAGUAGGUUAAAGAGAGGAAAUGACCAUGGAAAUGCAAAAAACCAAAAGGCAGUGACCGGCAUGUUAAAAGUCAAUAAAAUGCCAUUUGAAAGGUUCUUUUUCAUACUCACUUGUAACAAGUCCAAGGGAUUAACUGAGACCCCCACCUCCCCCGGCAGUGUUAAUACUCAGUGGAAAGAGUGUUUUUACAAGUGGGCUCCAUUUGUAAUGACAUUCUGAAACAUGAAACCCUGCAGCUAAUUUCACUGUUACCUGGACGUGCAUAUUUAUGAGCUCCAGAACCAGGUUUCUCCCGCAUGUGUCUGUUAUUGCCUCCCCAUUUUCCAUCUUGGGGAUCAGAGCUGGUGUCAACUGUUGGACAGUCGGGACAGCUCUUAGAUUUAUGAAUUUUCUUUUUUCCUUAAAAAAAAUCACUGCAGCAGACCAGCAUUCAGGAAGGUGAAGGAAACAGGAGAGGAUCCCAUGGUUUGUGGAGCUUUGGGGACAUCGAUAAGUCUGUUUGUAGCUAAUUUCCAAUUUAGGAGGAGCCAGAAGCCAGACUUGGAAUGCAGUAAUAUGAUGACAGCUAAUAUCAGUCUUUUGGACAAACGAUAAUUGGUCAAGUGAACUUCAAAGUGUGGGUUUAAAAAAGACACCCCACUAUAUAUAACAAAGUGAAUAGCAGACAGUUGGAAGAUUGAAACAUAAAAAUCAGCUACGUUAUAUAUGCUGCCUCAUGGUGACAAGGUGGCUGCACACCUUCAGCAUCACAUCUGUAUUUCAGGCACUGAUAAAAAGCUGCUAAAAUGACUUCCUAGAAGCCUUCGAAACUGCUGCUUAUAUUUGAUUGGUCCAAAUCUGGGUGUGAGGGAUGCUAGGAAAUAGAAAUGUCUUUAUCUGAGUACUACUCCCAAACAAAACUGGAGUUCUCUGUUAGUAAGAACAAAUGGUAGAAAGGAUAACAGGUCCACAACUAGUAGCAUCUUCCCAGUGUCUUACUAAUUGUUUAAGAAGAUAGAAACAAGAAUAACAUGUAAGUUCUAGGACUGAGAGACUAAGAGGAUAAAGACAUCAUUCCCCCCACCCCAAGCCCAGCACUUCUGGGGGGUAAAUCCCUUCUCUUUCUACCAUGUUGUUUGAGACACCUAGGAGACUUCUGCAUAGAGAAAUUGAGGAGGCAGUGGAUUGUGCAUACCUGGAACUCCAGGGAGAUUCAGAUUUGAGAGAGGGCGGCAUAUGAACGAAAUUUUGAAAUCAUGGACUGGAUGAAAUCACCUGGCAAGGAAGAGAAGAAAGUCAAGGAAAGAUUUGGGUCUGGGAGGGAAGAAGAGCAAGGAGGCUGCACUAGGGCAAGCUGUGCGUGGGGAGGGACAAGGUGACCUGGUGUCUGCAGGCCUAGGAAAGAGGGCUCCGGGAGGGAGUGAUCCACCAUGGGACACGACUGCUGGGACAGUUAGAGGAAGACAGAAAACUGACCAAUGGUUUUGGCAAAGUGGAAGCCAUGUGGGACCCUGAGAAAAACUUUUAAUGGCUGCCUGGUGGAUUUAGCGUGCUUUACUUACCCAUUCCCCUAACCACAUAUGCUUGGGUCAUCCUUUUUCUUCCUUUUUCUGUUUUGCUGAUGACAACAAUGCUACAAUGGGUAUCUUGUGCUAUGUUCUGCUCACAUGUGAUAGUAUUUUUUUUUUAUAAGGCCUAGAAAUUACGGAGCCAAAAGGCACGCAUGAGUUAAAUUAUAGUCCAUAUUGUCAAAGGUCUACUAAAUGGUCCUGAGUCAAACUCCUGCCAACCAUGUAUGUGCCAGUUUAACACAAAGGUAAAUCUUUCGUAAGCUGAUGAAACAUACUUGCUUUCAUUUGAAUUUCAUUGAUUACUUCUUUUAUUGAUCAUGUGUAUUCAUAUCUUCCCCCUCAUUUUUCUUUUCACCUCUUUGUUCUUGUUGACUUAUCAGAGCUCCUUUACAUAUGUAAUUUUUUCCAGUUUAUGGUUUUCCUUGAUUUUUGAAGUGUUUUUUUUUUCCUUAUCUAAUAAAUGCAGAAUUCAAAGUUGACUA